CUCACGACAGCUGUGUCUUACACUGAACUCUUGCUUGAAGUCUUUGAAUUUUCCACAAGCUUCAGUCACAGAUCUGAGUGUGCUGAUAAUUGAUUGCAGCUUCCAAGGACUCUUCCAUGCAGUCUUCUCUGUCCACUGUGAAACACAGAGUUACAGAAGGGCUGGCACUGCAGAAAUCUGAGAUAAGAGCCCUACCCCUUCCUUGGUGCGGUGAGCACGAUACGAAGGAUGAAGAGGAACUCAAGGCACAACCACGAGGACUUAGUGGGGUCUUGCCAGCAGUUAUCAAAAACAAAUAUGUCUCAUCUGUUUCCUGUCUUGAAAAGGAGGAGCAUGAGAGCCAUGGAGUGAAAUGCUCAGUGAUGUUGGGGGCAAUCACAGCCUCAGCCACUGCAAUACCUGCCCACACCCACAGCUCGGGCAAUAAACUGCUGACUACAACGAAUAUUAUAAAAAUUCCUCCCUGGAUGCCAGAGACACCUUGA
rnacentral:lncRNA from 1 species